rnacentral:rRNA from 1 species
UACGAAGGGGGCUAGCGUUGCUCGGAAUUACUGGGCGUAAAGCGCACGUAGGCGGCUCUUUAAAUCGGGGGUGAAAUCCUGGAGCUCAACUCCAGAACUGCCUUCGAUACUGAAGAGCUUGAGUCCGGGAGAGGUGAGUGGAACUGCGAGUGUAGAGGUGAAAUUCGUAGAUAUUCGCAAGAACACCAGUGGCGAAGGCGGCUCACUGGCCCGGUACUGACGCUGAGGUGCGAAAGCGUGGGGAGCAAACAGG